rnacentral:misc_RNA from 1 species
AUUCUUGACCGUGGCAGAAGUGAUGAGCGAUCGAAAUUCGUAGUUUUCUCUGUCACUUUCCUAACCUCUCCACCGCUCGCCGCGCUCCACGAAUGUUCCGGUGUUUCUGGUGCGGUGGCUGGUGCGAUAAUCGGUUUACCGGUGAUCUAAUCACGCGAGAACAUUAAUAUGAUGUCGCGGUCAGUGCGCGCAGAGACUCGUAGCCGUGCCAAGGAUGACAUUAAACGCGUGAUGCAAGUAGUCGAUAAAGUUCGCCAUUGGGAAAAGAAAUGGGUUACUAUAGGAGAGACAACGAUGAAAAUAUACAAAUGGGUACCAAUCUCGACACUUGAUCAGGUAUUUUAUAAGAAAAAAGGAAAAACAGUCUCUGAUAAGGAAAAUGGUUUACCAAGGAAAACAGGGAUAGAUUCAUCAAAUUCCAAUUUUGGACUAACAGAAGAUUCCAAUACAUGCUCUUCUGAAACGCUAGGUUUCUCCACCGUCAGCGAUUCCCAAGGGCUCACAGAUUUUUCUGCACAUCUGGGUUUUUCGGAAGAUUCAAAUUCCCAAAAUAGCGAACCUACACCUAAGAGAUUAAAGACUGACUAAUAGUCGACCCAUAAUCAACAUCACUGCUAUCAUCGUAUAGGGAUCGACAUAUUUAGGAAUCGCUAUCUUUUGAACUAGAGACAACGAUCUGCUAAUUGGAUACAAAAAAAAUGUGACGAAUGCCCGAUCCAUUAGUUAAAUCCUGAUUUUUAUUUUGAAAUAAAUAUAAGGAUGCGAGAUUGUAAAAUAAUUCUGAAAAUUGAAAAAAUUCAGUAGCAAAAAUUAAGAGGCGGAUUGUACAUUCGGUUAUGUACUGUCACUAUAGUAUUUUAUUUGAAAAUUCUAUUUUUCUCGCUAUAAUGAUAUAUCGUUGUAUCAUGAGGUAUCGAAAUACUCGAAUGCUAUUAUGAUCAUUUUGCUAUAAGUCAACUUACUAGAAAAACACGUUCAUAUAUUUACAUAUUUGUAAACAUGUUCACGCGUUUUAGACAUUAAAAAUCAUUGUACAUAUCUCAA